rnacentral:rRNA from 1 species
CCUACGGGAGGCAGCAGUGGGGGAUAUUGCACAAUGGGGGCAACCCUGAUGCAGCGACGCCGCGUGGGUGAAGAAGUAUUUCGGUAUGUAAAGCCCUAUCAGCAGGGAAGAAAGAAGACGGUACCUGACUAAGAAGCCCCGGCUAACUACGUGCCAGCAGCCGCGGUAAUACGUAGGGGGCGAGCGUUAUCCGGAUUCACUGGGUGUAAAGGGAGCGUAGACGGCCGUGCAAGCCAGGAGUGAAAGCCCGGGGCCCAACCCCGGGACUGCUCUUGGAACUGUGCGGCUGGAGUGCGGGAGGGGCAGGCGGAAUUCCUGGUGUAGCGGUGAAAUGCGUAGAUAUCAGGAGGAACACCGGCGGCGAAGGCGGCCUGCUGGACCGCGACUGACGUUGAGGCUCGAAAGCGUGGGGAGCGAACAGGAUUAGAUACCCGAGUAGUC